rnacentral:misc_RNA from 1 species
GACAGUGGUAUCGCGCGAAACCUUUGAUUUUAAAGUAAUGGCGGAAGAAGCGCUCAUAAUUCGUAUUGAAAGGGAGAUAAAUGAUAUCUCCCGUCGUUACCAAGAGAAUGGUAGCUAUAGAGGUUGCGAAACCCAGCCUUUACGAGAUGCUCUAGUACAUAUGCGUGUCUUGAAUCACACACCGCAAAUUACUAUGCUGGAAGACGCAGUGAGAAAUCUACUGGAGGAUAUAACAAACCAAGGCCCAGUAGCUGUAGGCCUAGGAGGAGGCCAAGAUGCGGUUGGUGGCCCUGAGCCUAGGAGGCCUAGGCUUAAUCAAGAUGUUGACACAGGAACUUCUGCCAAUAUCUUUCACUCUGGAACCAAAGGUCGACCAAAAAUAGAUAUUACAAGAGAGCAGUUAGAAUUCCUGUACACCAAAGGUUAUUCUGGCGUGCAAAUAGCUAAACAUUUCAAGGUUUCAGUGUCUUACAUAUAUAAACGAUUAAGACUAGAGGGACUUCAACCAUCAAAGAGAUUUACAGCAAUAUCUUCAGAAGGGCUUAAGGAAAAAGUGAACGAUAUGCACAUUUCCUAUCCGAAUGCCGGUUCUCGAAUGAUGCUAGGAUUUCUACGUAGCCAAAAUAUCACCGCAUAAAGAAAGCGGGUAAGGGAGGCACUCAAAGAAGUUGAUCCAGAAGGGACAGCUAAGAGGUGGGCUCAAACAAUUACUCGCAGAGUCUAUGCAGUUCAAGCUCCAAAUUCGCUGUGGCAUAUUGAUGCCAAUCUUAAACUAAUAAGCUUUGGCAUGGUAGUCCAUGGUUGUAUAGAUGGAUCAUCACAUCUUGUUCCAUACCUUCGAUGUGAAAACAACAACAGAGCCUCAACUGUGUUUGAAAUGUUUGUCAGAGCGACGUCUGUGUAUGGUAUUCCAUCAAGAGUGAGAUCUGACCAUGGCCUCGAAAACCUACAUGUGGCACUUUUUAUGAAUAUGGUGAGGGGAAAUCAAAGAGGCAGCCAUAUAACAGGACGGUCAGUUCACAAUCAGCGUAUUGAACGUUUUUGGAGGGAUGUACAUACACAGGUACUUAUUACUUUCAAGGAUGUUUUCUACGGGCUAGUUGACAGUGAUCAACUAGAUGUAGAGAACCACUCUCAUCUGCAAGCACUACAUGCUGUGUAUGUGCCAGUCAUUAACAACCGACUUGAAUUGUUCAGACAAGCCUGGAACAUGCACAAAAUGACAUCUGAUGCGGCUCAGCGUACACCUGAACAACAGUGGAUAGACGGAAUGUUGUCAAAUGCUGGCUCAGACAAAAGGGCAGUUAAUUCGGUUUUUCAAGGCGAAACAGUUGAAAGGACAUUAUCAGAAAUUUUAACGCAGCAAGGAUUACACCCUGAACCGUUUGGUGACUUGGCAGAUGAGAAUAAUUUGGUAGGAAACUUAGAUGUUGUACCACAACUUCUUCCCGAGCAGUUGAAUGAGUUUCAUGUCGCUGUGGAGGGCAUAACUGACUUGCAGCAAAGAUAUAUUAUAGCUCUUAAUCUGUUUGGUACUCUUGAGUAGCAUUUGGUACCAUAUACAGUAGAACCCCGAUUUUACGAACCCCGAUUUUACGAAUUCCCGAUUUUACGAACGUAAUAUAAAGGUGGUGACGUCAUAAAAAUUGAAGCGAAAGAUUAAAAAAAAAA